rnacentral:rRNA from 1 species
CCUACGGGAGGCUGCAGUGGGGAAUAUUGGGCAAUGGAGGAAACUCUGACCCAGCAACGCCGCGUGAAGGAUGAAGGUUUUCGGAUUGUAAACUUCUGUCGCGAGGGAUGAAGAAUGACGGUAUCUCGCAAGAAAGCACCGGCAAACUACGUGCCAGCAGCCGCGGUAAUACGUAGGGGGCGAGCGUGGUCUGGAAUGACUGGGCGUAAAGGGAGUGUAGGCGACAUAUUAAGUUAUGUGUGAAAGCCCGCGGCUCAACCGCGGAAUUGCAAAUAAAACUGGUAAGGUUGAGUGCAGGAGAGGUAAGUGGAAUGCGCGGUGUAGCGGUGGAAUGCGUAGAUAUCGCGAGGAAGACCGGAGGCGAAGGCGACUUACUGGACUGUAACUGACGCUGAGGCUCGAAAGCGUGGGGAGCAAACAGGAUUAGAUACCCCAGUAGUC